rnacentral:rRNA from 1 species
GCCUGGUAGCGGGGGAUAACUAUUGGAAACGAUAGCUAAUACCGCAUAACAGUAGAUAUCGCAUGAUAGCUGCUUGAAAGGUGCAAAUGCAUCACUACCAGAUGGACCUGCGUUGUAUUAGCUAGUUGGUGAGGUAACGGCUCACCAAGGCAACGAUACAUAGCCGACCUGAGAGGGUGAUCGGCCACACUGGGACUGAGACACGGCCCAG